CGAUAUAGUACGUCAUCACGUAUGUAUCGGAAAUAUUGGAACAAAUGAGGCAAAUCCUGAUUCAGAUCCAUGCGGCGGUGUGGAAGAAAGGGCUUCAGGGUGGUAAAGGCACCUUUCAUGGAAGGGAGGAAAAGGUGGUUCGUAAAUGCCGACCAGCCCUUGGAGCGUUACUCCACCAGAAGAAAGCCCCGGGCUAAUCCCGGUGCCAGCAGCCGCGGGUUAAUACGAAGGGGUGCAAGCGGUUAUUCGGGAAUUACUGGGCGUAAAAGCGCGCGGUAGGUGGUUUGAUAAGCGAGGAUGUGAAAGCCCCGGGCUAACCUGGAAACGGCAUUUCGAACUGUCAGGCUAGAAGUAUGGUAGAGGAGUGUGGAAUUUCCUGUGUAGCGGUGAAAAUGCGUAGAUAUAGGAAGGAACACCAGUGGCGAAGGCGGCACUCUGGACCAAUACUGACACUGAGGUGCGAAAGCGUGGAGAGCAAACAGGAUUAGAUACCCUGGUAGUCCACGCCGUAAACGAUGUCUACUAGCCGUUGGGACUCUUGAAGUCUUAGUGGCGCAGCUAACGCACUAAGUAGACCCGCCUGGGGAGUACGGCCGCAAGGUUAAAACUCAAAUGAAUUGACGGGGGCCCGCACAAGCGGUGGAGCAUGUGGUUUAAUUCGACGCAACGCGAAGAACCUUACCUGGCCUUGACAUGCAGAGAACUUUCCAGAGAUGGAUUGGUGCCUUCGGGAACUCUGACACAGGUGCUGCAUGGCCGUCGUCAGCUCGUGUCGUGAGAUGUUGGGUUAAGUCCCGUAACGAGCGCAACCCCUAUCCCUAGUUGCUAGCAGUUCGGCUGAGAACUCUAGGGAGACUGCCGGUGACAAACCGGAGGAAGGUGGGGAUGACGUCAGGUCAUCAUGGCCCUUACGGCCAGGGCUACACACGUGCUACAAUGGCGCGCACAGAGGGCUGCAAACCCGCGAGGGGGAGCCAAUCUCACAAAACGCGUCGUAGUCCGGAUCGCAGUCUGCAACUCGACUGCGUGAAGUCGGAAUCGCUAGUAAUCGUGAAUCAGAAUGUCACGGUGAAUACGUUCCCGGGCCUUGUACACACCGCCCGUCACACCAUGGGAGUGGAUUGCACCAGAAGUGGUUAGUCUAACCUUCGGGAGGACGAUCACCACGGUGUGGUUCAUGACUGGGGUGAAGUCGUAACAAGGUAGCCGU
rnacentral:rRNA from 1 species